UUUCCGUAGGUGAACCUGCGGAAGGAUCAUUAUUGUAUAACCGAGGUGCGAGGGCUGUCGCUGAACCGAUAGGUCGCGCGGGCCCGAGUGCCCUCACACACUCGCAUCUCCCCCCUUUGUGCACCACCGCGGGGGUCCCUCCUUGGCUUGUUCGGAGGGGUGCUUACCUUUUCACACAAACUUUGUAUGCAGUGUAGAAUGUAUUUUUUGUGUUUGCGAUCACGCAAUCAAUACAACUUUCAACAACGGAUCUCUUGGCUCUC
rnacentral:misc_RNA from 1 species